rnacentral:tRNA from 1 species
GCUCCUAAAGGAUAACAGCUCUUCCAUUGGUCUUAGGCGCCAACCCCUCUUGGUGCAAAUCCAAGUAGUAGCA